CUUGCUCUGAUGGCGAGUGGCGAACGGGUGAGUAAUAUAUCGGAACGUGCCCUAGAGUGGGGGAUAACUAGUCGAAAGACUAGCUAAUACCGCAUACGAUCUACGGAUGAAAGUGGGGGAUCGCAAGACCUCAUGCUCCUGGAGCGGCCGAUAUCUGAUUAGCUAGUUGGUGGGGUAAAAGCCUACCAAGGCAACGAUCAGUAGCUGGUCUGAGAGGACGACCAGCCACACUGGGACUGAGACACGGCCCAGACUCCUACGGGAGGCAGCAGUGGGGAAUUUUGGACAAUGGGGGCAACCCUGAUCCAGCAAUGCCGCGUGAGUGAAGAAGGCCUUCGGGUUGUAAAGCUCUUUUGUCAGGGAAGAAACGGUGGUAGCUAAUAUCUACUACUAAUGACGGUACCUGAAGAAUAAGCACCGGCUAACUACGUGCCAGCAGCCGCGGUAAUACGUAGGGUGCAAGCGUUAAUCGGAAUUACUGGGCGUAAAGCGUGCGCAGGCGGUUGUGUAAGUCAGAUGUGAAAUCCCCGGGCUCAACCUGGGAAUUGCAUUUGAGACUGCACGGCUAGAGUGUGUCAGAGGGGGGUAGAAUUCCACGUGUAGCAGUGAAAUGCGUAGAUAUGUGGAGGAAUACCGAUGGCGAAGGCAGCCC
rnacentral:rRNA from 1 species